AAAGUGUGCCACACCAUCCUGCAAGUUCCCAAUUCCAGCUGAACUUGGAAGCAAAGCAGGUCCAGGUUAGUACCUGGAUGGGAGAAUGCCUUGGAAGAUCGGGGGCCGUUA
rnacentral:rRNA from 12 species